UACUCGAGUGGCGAACGGGUGAGUAACACGUGGGUGAUCUGCCCUGCACUCUGGGAUAAGCCUGGGAAACUGGGUCUAAUACCGGAUAGGACCAUGCUUAGUGUGUGUGGUGGAAAGUUUUUUCGGUGUAGGAUGAGCCCGCGGCCUAUCAGCUUGUUGGUGGGGUAAUGGCCUACCAAGGCGGCGACGGGUAGCCGGACUGAGAGGUUGGUCGGCCACAUUGGGACUGAGAUACGGCCCAG
rnacentral:rRNA from 1 species